GAGCCGGUAGCGCAAUGGUAGCGCGUCUGACUCCAGAUCAGAAGGUUGCGUGUUCGAAUCACGUCCGGCUCA
rnacentral:tRNA from 1 species